rnacentral:lncRNA from 1 species
UAAGAAUGUAAGCAAGUCUUAUGUUGUUUGAGAGAGCUUAUGAUAAUGUUUACGUGUGCUGUCAUGAGAUUCUUUUCUUAAGGCAAACUGAGCGUUUGAUUUCCUGGUACCUAUUGAUCCAGUACUGCGCUGUAUACGAUUAGGAAUUUUGCAAUUUAAUGUUAAGUUGUUCUCUUCAAUGUUUUGUAAUUUUAGAAAAGAUUAAGUUGUGAAAGUACAAUUCCCC